UACAACUUUCAACAAUGGAUCUCUUGGUUCUCGCAUCGAUGAAGAACGCAGCGAAAUGCGAUAAGUAAUGUGAAUUGCAGAUUUCAGUGAAUCAUCGAAUCUUUGAACGCACCUUGCGCCCUUUGGUAUUCCGAAGGGCAUGCCUGUUUGAGUGUCAUUAAAUUAUCAAC
rnacentral:rRNA from 2 species